rnacentral:lncRNA from 1 species
AUAACCUCGUUUUAAAACCCAAGGAGCUGCCGAACCCUCUGCACAUCUGACAGGCAUGGUCCCUAGAAAUUUUAGGAAGGACAUUCUCCGUUACUUCUCAAUAGAGAAGAAAAAUAAAUGCCCUGAAGGGAGCAGAUUUUUUUUUAAUAUUGCCUCCCUCUCUCUAAUUUCUUUGCAAGCUCUAACAUGCAAUCUAAUAACGCACCAAACUUGGCAGCGGGGUAGCUUGGUGGCUUGGAGUCUUCAGGGCUCCAAUUUUCGGGGCGAGUGCGCGCUAGUGCAUGAGGAACGGGCCGGAGGGGCGCGCGACCCGGGGACGCGCCAGGUCCCCCGCCCCCUCCCGGAGCAGCAGCCUGGCACCGGCCCACCCUCCUCCACCCCUGCAAACAGACGCAGGACGCGGAGCGGAGCAACUUCUCCGCGGGGGCGGUAGCGGCUGGCGGGCGGAGGGGCGGCCCUCGCGCGCCGUGGGCCGCCGGGGUCCCCUGGGAGGCCUUGGCAGGCCCCGCCCCGCCGCAAAGGCCCGCGUUUGGGGUCUGAAGCGGGACCCCAAGCCUGGGCGCGCGGCCCGCAGCGGCGCUCUCCCAAGGACGGCGAGCGGCCGGAGCGCGCGGCAGCCCAGAGGGGCGGACGCCAAGCCCCUCGCCUCAGGCCUCGGGGCCCUAGGCAUGGCGAUACGCCCGCGGCCGC